rnacentral:rRNA from 1 species
GACGAACGCUGGCGGCAUGCCUAAUACAUGCAAGUCGAGCGAACAGAUGGAGUGCUUGCACUUCUGACGUUAGCGGCGAACGGGUGAGUAACACGUAAGGAAUCUACCUAUAAGCGGGGGAUAACAUUCGGAAACGGGUGCUAAUACCGCAUAAUAUCUUCUUCCGCAUGGAAGAAGAUUGAAAGACGGCUCUGCUGUCACUUAUAGUUGACCUUGCGGUGCAUUAGUUAGUUGGUGGGGUAACGGCCUACCAAGACGAUGAUGCAUAGCCGACGUGAGAGGGUGAUCGGCCACAUUGGGACUGCGACACGGCCCAAACUCCUACGGGAGUCAGCGGUAGGGAAUCUUCCGCAAUGGGCGAAAGCCUGACGGAGCAAUGCCGCGUGAGUGAAGAAGGCCAUCGGGUCGUAAAACUCUGUUAUAAGAGAAGAACAAAUUGUAGAGUAACUGCUACAGUCUUGACGGUAUCUUAUCAGAAAGCCACGGCUAACUACGUGCCAGCCGCCGCGGUAA